UGAAUUAAUCGUCCGAUAUUUUUAAAUUAAAUAUAUAUUCUUCAAUUUUCGUUUAUUGAUUAAUUUUAACACCUGCUUUAUUUUAUCGCUGAAAAUUCAACCGUCCGUUAAAUAUUAUUUGCUUUUCUUUUUCUCACGAUUUCUUAACGCUCAAUACUUAUUCAAAAAUCUUGUGAAUUAUUCAUCAAGAGUAUUUAUUAUUUAAAUGAAUUUCCUUAUGGAAUUACGAAGAUUUUUGAUGACUGACGUGAAACAAGUCAGCAAAAUUCAAUAAAUACAUCGAACCUUGAAAAAAUCUCGCAUUAAUUCGAUCGAUCUUAGAAGGAAACGUAGCGGGCGGAAGCUAUACCUCGUUCGAGGUAAUCGACCAGUCGGAAGUAUGGCCCACCUCUGUACUCGUGAGGAGGAAUAAAGGGCAUUAAGUUGAGAUUGCAGAAGUCGGAGUGAUCGCAGCAGGCGAUCACGGAUACCAUGUCACCUGGACCGUGUAGCGUGCUAUUCGUUGUGCACCAGUACGAGUAAUCGGGCGCCGGGAAGAAACGCACCUUAUCGUAACACCUGAGAACAAUUUACAUGACUUCCGGACCAGAAUAUGCAUUUAUCCGUACCGCCGGGCUCAAAAAGAGGAAACCGUUUUUUUCCAUGGUCUAAUAAAGAAAAACAUGAUAUUUCAUUA